UUUAUGGCUAGCUAGGUCCUACACAAGUUCGACCUAGCCACAAUAUCGAAUGGAGGCUUGAGUCAGGCAUGCCUGUGCAUGCAGAUGCAUCUGUAGCACUAUCACCACUUGACCUUGACAAGCCUGAAUAGCUCCAAUGAUGGUAGGGUCCUCCCUGUUGUGACCAUGAGCAUGAGUGCCUGCAAUUUAGGAAAGAACUUGAGGUCUAACGUACCUUGCUGGUAGUGCACAUGAUGGCAGGGUCAGCUCUAGGCCAUGGCAAAAGAUGAGACGACCCAGGGCCCAGUCAAAACAAGGCCCCAUGAUAUCAUCAGGGGCGGAGUCAGGAAAUUUUGCCAAUGGGUUCACUCCAGGGGCAGGCCCACCUCAAUUCAAAGGUAUUCAGUUGAAUACCAAUUAUUCUUGUGAAAAAACUAGAUGUAUAUAGUGUAUACAAAAUGUACAUACAGGAAAAAACAAAACUGAUGCACUUAAACGUUCUACAUAAGCGUUUCAGCCCCAAAAGAGAGGCUAGACCAGCUCCUACUCAUCCUCACCACCCACGACAUGGCUCAUAGGCCCAAUUUGCUUCAGGUUGCACUGUGCGGUGUGCGCAGGAAAUUCCUAUUUGCCGCUCGUUGCGGCAAGUAGUCGACGCGCCGCACAGGGGCAGAUCGUCGAGCGUUCCGAUGGGCCCGCCCGUUCAAACUUUGCGCGAAUCCAGUUUUGGGAAGGUGGUUCCCAGCCGGUUUUUUCUGGUUUUGGGAACCUUCUAGGAUGUUCCUGAACCAGUUUUUAUAUUUUCCCCCUUUUCUGUUUUUCUUUCUUUCUUUUUCUAUUUCUUUUUCUUUUUCGUUUAAAUUUUUUCUUUCCUUUUUCUGUUUUUUCUUUGCUUUGCUCUUUCCUUUUUCCCUUUUUCAUGAAUCUUUUCUUUGAGAAUUUCAAAUAUUUAUUCAGAAUUUUAUGACAUGCUCUUGUUUUCAAAAUUUACUCUUAAUUUCAAAAACAUGUUCAAGAAUUUCAUAAAAUGUUCCCGUUUUUAAAUUUUGUUCACAAUUUCAAAAAAUGUUCGUGUUUCAAAAAGACUUUCAGGAAUUUCAAAAAAGUUCUUGUUUUAAAUUUUGUUUACAAUUCUCAAAAAAUGUUCUUUUUUCAAAUAUUUGUUAUGUUCAUGUUUUGAAAAAAAUGUUCAUGUUUUGAAAAAAAUGUUCAUGAUUUCAGAAAAUGUGUCCGUUUUCAUCUUUUGUUCACAAUUAAAAUAUUCUUGUUUUAAAUUUUGUUCACAAUUUCAAAAAAUGUUCUCGUUCUAAAAUAUUUUUUACGUUCAUGUUUUGAGAAAAUGGUCAAGAAUUCCAUAAAAUGUUCUUGUUUUCAAAUUUUGUUCACAAUUUCAAAAAAUGUUUGUGUUUCCAAAGUCAUUCAGGAAUUUCAAAAAAUGUUCUUCUUUGAAAUUUUGUUCUCAAUUUCAAAAAAUGUUCGUGUUUUGAAAAAAGCUCAGUAAAUUUAAAAAAUUGUUCUUGUUUUCAAAUAUUUUGGUACAUUCAUGUUUUGAGAAAAUGUUCAGGAAUUUCACAAAAUAAGCCUGUUUUAAAAUUUUAUUCACCAUUUCAAAAAAUGUUCGUGUUUCAGAAAGUCUUUUAGGAAUUUCAAAAAAUGUUCUUGUUUAAAUUUUGUCACAAUUUCAAAAAAUGUUCAUGUUUUAAAAAAUAUUCAUUUAUUUCCAAAAAAUGUUCUCAUUUUCAAAUAUUUAUUAUGUUCGUGUUUAAAAAAAUGUCCAUUAAUUUCAAAAAAAAUGUUCUCAUUUUGAAAUCUUUACUAUGUUCAUGUUUAAAAAAAUAUCUUUAUCAAAAUAUGUUCUGUAUGUCAUUCGUAGAAUGUUUAUGUUUCAGAAAAUGUACAGGAAUUUCAAAAUAUGUUGUCAUUUCCAAAAUUUGCUUACAAUUUUCAGAAAAAUGUUUGUGCUUCAAAAUAUGCUCAAGAAUUUCCGAAAAUGUUUCUUGUUUUCAAAAGAAAAUCACAAUGUCAGAAAAUUUUCAAUUUUUCCAAAAUUCUUCACCUUUUAGAAAACUGUUAGGUUCUGCAAAAAAAACGUCCGUGUUUUUCUAAAUUGGGAUUACAAAAAUUGUUAACAUUUCUUUAGGAAAAGAGUUGUGAAUAUCAGAAAAUAUUUGCUUCAUUUCGAAUUGUUCGAAUUUUUCAAGGAAUAUUUCUAAAAUGUUUUUUUGUAAAAUCUUGACCCUGCUAACUGUUGUUAUAGAGUUUGGCGCUUAAAUAUUCAGUAGCAUCAUUGUGGUCGAGUGGCUAGCUGGUGCUGGUUUAGUCUGUGUUGGGAGCGAGAUCGUGGGAUUGAAUCCACAUAAGUGUCUUUCGCGUCGAUGGGCCGGCCCACUCGUGCGUCGCCAGUGUGCGUCGACCUUCUGUUUGACGCACAAUGCGUCCUAUAGGAGCUCCCGUGUGCGCAAUGCAUGAGUCACGCAUACGCAUCCAUCGCUGAUGCAGUUAUUACCUUAGCCAAAAGAAAAAUCUAUCGAUCCAGUAGCAGAGGAAUCGGCGCCAUCCUUCCCCAAUCUGUUCGCAAGCAAGCCACCAGCCGGCUAGGGCUGAUUGCCAUUGGCCAUCGCCGCCUGAUCGCAUGCGCGUACGACGGCAGGCACUGGCGGGCGGGGCGACGACGCAUCCAUCCAGAUUCCAUAUUCCAACGGCAUGGCAUCCAUCCCUCGGCCCUCGCUCCCUCUUGUACUGAGCUCGGCAUGCAUAAGUCUUUGAUUUUAAAGCCACAUCCCACUGGUUCAACUACUUUGUCUAUUCAAGGUAUAAUUGCUGGAUGUGUUCAUGUGUCUUAAUACAUUACCGCAAUUUAAAGGUCACUCCUCUCAUCCCGAUUCUUAGUUGAACUAUAUUCAUCUAUUACUGCAGGCGCCAUCUUCUUCUUCUAUUGUCCAGUAGGCCGCAGGCUACACAAGUCUUAUCGAGCACCAAUAAUAAUGCAUAGGUACACCACUAAGUAAGUUAAUUUGACUAGUUUUCUUCCUAUUUAAUAAUACUAAAAAUACUUGUUUGCAAUCAAUUAUCGUUUGUUAUUUUCUAUCCUCAAUAUAUGUUAGAUGUUGCCACUCGAUAUGUUGAACGUUAGUAUUUCUAUACGGUGAAAAUUUUAAGUUAUGAUCAAUUAUUUGAAUCUAUUACAUUAUGCUAUAUCUUUGUGUAUUAUACAAUUUGUAUAAACUGGUACUAUAAUUAGUUAUACACCCCAAAACAAGGUUUUAGGCUUUUAAAAUAUUGGCUUUGAAAAUUUGAAUACACACUCUUGAAAUCUUGGGCCCGCCUUCACUCAUUGGCUCGUUGUGAGAACUUAGCAGUGCUACUACUGGUAUGGUUCUCCCAACCAGACACCAAUGUGUGAAGUAAGAAGAAUGAAACUUAAGGUCCAGCAUACCUUGCAGCGAGUGCAAGUGCAAAUGAUGGGUAAAGUUCACCCAUCAGCACUGGCCAACCUAGUUAGGAAGGCCUUGCUCUAGGUCAUGGCAAAAGGCGAGAUGGCCCAGGGCCCAGCCAAAAUAGGGCCCCAUGAUAUCGUCAGGGGCGGAGUCAGAAAUUUGACCAAUGGGUUCACUCAUUGACUCAUUGUGAGAACUUAGUGUGAAGUCCAAUUUUACACCCUCUUAGAGUGCAAGACAUACCGGCUGGAUGAAAUUAUAAAAUAACAUUUUUGAAAUUAUAGUCACUUGUUUACGUAUCGUGAAUUUGAGUGGAGGCUCAACUGAGACAUCUCUUGCAACUAGAAGCAUUUGUAUCACCACCGCGUUGAAAAGAGCAUAUGACUUGCCUGAAGUUCUCCUUCACAUGGCAUAAAGAGGUUCAAUAUAUGCACUUGAAAGUAGUGCUACUACUACUAUGGUUCUCCCAACCAGACACCGAAAUGUCUGAGGUAAGAACAAUCAAACUUGAGGCUCAAUGUACCUUGUAGGUAGUGCAAAUGAUGGUAAAGUUCAACCCAUAAGCACUGGCGAACCCAGUUAGGAAGGGCUGGCUCUAGGCCAUGGAAAGAAGUGAGACGGCCUAGGGCCCAGCCAAAAUAUGGCCGCAUGAUGUGCACAUAUCGUAGUGUGUAUAGCUAUAUGGGGGAACUGCACUACCACUUCCUUUUUUCGAGAAAACUACCUCGGUAAAUUUGAGUGGAGGCUCGACAGAGACAUCUCUUGCAACUACAAGCAUUUGAAUCACCAUUGCGUUGAAAAGAGCAUCUGACUUGAAUGAAGUUCUCCUUCACAUAGCAUGAGGGAAAAUGACACUAGGGUCCAAUAUAUGCAUCUUGCAAGUAGUGCUAAUACUGGUAUGGUUAUCCCAAGUAUGGGUGAUCUACUAGCAAGGCGUUCAAAUACCAUCCUUCUCGGUCUUAAAUAAAGGAAAAACAAAGUCAACAGCAUAUGCAACUAUGAUAGGUUUUCUACACAUACAAAGUAUAACAUUAUUACUUCUAAGAUGAUAUAAGUAUCUGCCCAAAAAACAAAAAAGAGCAUAAUCAAACAAUGGGAAGGACGAAGCAUGUAUUACCUCGGUGAUGAACUGGUGAAUUACCCUUAGCACCAAAACCUCCCAAACCUGUGGACCAAAUCUACUCUUAGUAUACAUCACCAAUAUAAUAAUAAUAAUAUAUUCUAUUAUGGACAGCUAUCCUGGAAAUUUCUACCUGCAUGUGAUGGGCUCAAUGAACAAUUCACAUUCAGGUCAAAAUGAUUAAGGGCACCAUUGUUUGGGCUACACGGAUUCUGAGAAUCAGUCGUUACUGUGGAUUCCUGAGAAUCAGAAGCAGAAUUUUCAAUUACCUUGCUAUUGGAUAGCUGUAGGAAUUGUGAGUGUUGCAAAAUGUCUGUGUUACCCAUGAAUGCUGACUGCUGAGUAUGGUGUUUGUUUGAUGAUUAAGAGCAAAUUAGCUGUUUUUGUUUGAGUUAAACUGAAAUGACAUGUAUGUACAACAAUUACACACAAACUGAUUUGGGCUCGGUUGAGUAAAAAUUAGCAAAGUUUGAAUCAUUUAAGACAUGUUUUUACUAGAAAUGUCAUGAUGGUGAACUAGAAAGUCCAAUCUAUUGCCUCACGAGUUGCUUACAUAUAUUCAAAAGAUGCACCAACCAUCAUCCUACAAGUAAAUAUGUAAAAAUCGACUCGAACCCCCAACAAGGCAUUAGCUAUUUAAAUCACUACUUCAUAGACAAAUCCACUAACACAGGGGCGAACGCAGGUUGAGCUCAGUGGGGGCAAAUGCCCCCUCCCGUAAUAUUAAGCCCAUGGUAUAAGGCCUUGCCCCCAUUAAGCCCAUACCCUUUGCCCCCACUCAUUUAUUUUUUCUGGUUAUUUUCCAAACAAAAGUCAGCCCAUAUGGCUUGGUCACGCAUGAACUACCAGUGGGCUUUGCAAAAUAGCGUACUAGCUUUUCCUUCCGUGAAUCGCAACGGAGUCCGGACGUGACGCGCCGCCUCUCUUCCGCCCAGUCGCCCAGACGAGAUGCGACGGGCGCCCUCGCCAGAUCGCCUUUGAGCUCUGGUAAUCAUCGUCGAUCUGCGUUGUACACGCUGUCGGCCGGUUGGCGUGCCGUUCUUUGAUCCAUGCGCCCUUGAUUAAUCAAGGUAAGCCCUAGACCUAGGUUCACUUCAUCUUUACAAUCUUCUGUUCUACUAGUUCUUAAAUCGGUGUUCUUUGUCAACUUUCAUGUUAGAAAACAGUGAGUUUUUUUCCUGGUGAAGGAACUACAACCUGAUUCGGAUAAUCGAUCAGCCUGUUUCUCAGUGCUACACGACAUCAAGAAGGAGCUGCAGAAAUUCCAAGGAUCUCAGGUCAUAUAUGCUAACCGCAAACAAAACAGGUUGGCACAUUGCCUCACGGCCAGAGCUAGGAGAAUGGGCGACAUGCAAUGGGUGGCGACUGUCCCGGAUGACCUGAAAGCAGUGCUAGCUGCCGACUGUUUGUUGGCUCAAGAGUAAUGUAAUUUGCUCUUUUUCCUCAAAAAAAAGAGAAAGCAGUGAGUUUUACUUCUUGACGAUGCAACCAAGGUGCUUCUGCGAUUUCAUAUAGAUCGGCUAAAGAAAAAAAUACAUGGUGGUGUGGUUUAUCAAAAGGGAAACUGGGACAAAAACUAAAAGAGAAAAAAGAAGAGAAAGUAAGGAAAAACAACUAUGUCGAUGCCGGUCGACAAAAAACACCAUUGAUGAAAUGAAGAGAUUUUUUUUUUCUUUUUUGCAAAAUCUACAACUGGCAACACUCACGAAUUUGUUGAUUUGAACUAACUUUGUAGGAAUCCAUCUAGUAGAAAAUAAAAUUUUAUGAAAAAAGUCGCCACUUGGACGAAACGGAAGGAGGUGAUGCGCUCAAGAUUAUUUCUCAUUAGAUUUUAACAUGCUUUCUCUUUACAAAUUGCAUGCUAUAAUUUGUGUUCAAGACUAAAAAACGGCAUAUUGAUAUUUUUCAAUUUACUGGGUCUUUAGUGAUUAGUUUAAUUUUACAUUAGCAAUGAACUUAUCGUAAUUAUGUGUGAUGAAAUUAUAUUAUAUAGAAAUAUAUGAUGUUUUUAUUAGGCGCUAUAUGUAUGCUUGUGUAGUUGUGUCGCUAGUUUUUAUAAAUGAUUUAGCCAUUAUUUUUAUUAGGCGCUAUAUGUAUGCUUGUGUAGUUGUGUCGCUAGUUUUUAUAAAUGAUUUAGCCAUUAGUUCUCACACAUACCUCUGUGAAAAAAAAGUCAUAUGCAUCUUUGCCCCCUCUCAGUUUUCAUCCUGGCUCCGCCCCUGCACUAACAAGCACUUGUUGUCACUAUGAGUUUGCUGUCACACAUCUACACACAUACUCACCUUCUUCGGAGAGAUGGAGCAGGAGGUCGGACGUCGGAGAAGUGGAGCAGGAGGUUGGGGAGGCCGGCGG
rnacentral:lncRNA from 1 species